GCGAAAACUUUACAAUGCUGGCAACAGCGAUAAGGGAACCUCGAGUGCCAGGUUACAAAUCUGGCUGUCGAGAUGCCUAAAAAGCAUUUCAUAGCAAGGGCCGGGCAAGACCGGUGCCAGCCGCCGCGGUAACACCGGCGGCUCGAGUGGUAACCGUUAUUAUUGGGUCUAAAGGGUCUGUAGCCGGCCGGAUAAGUCUCUUGAGAAAUCUGGCAGCUUAACUGUCAGGCUUUCAGGAGAUACUGUCUGGCUCGAGGCCGGGAGAGGUGAGAGGUACUUCAGGGGUAGGGGUGAAAUCUUGUAAUCCUUGAAGGACCACCAGUGGCGAAGGCGUCUCACCAGAACGGACCUGACGGCAAGGGACGAAAGCGUGGGGAGCAAACA
rnacentral:rRNA from 1 species